CUACGGUUCCGACUCAUGACUGGGAUCUUUUAUUGCUGGGACCGGUCCAUCUUUCAGUAUCAAAUGAUCACUGCAUCGUAUACAGGCUGGU